UACGAAGGGGGCUAGCGUUGCUCGGAAUCACUGGGCGUAAAGGGUGCGUAGGCGGGUUUUUAAGUCAGGGGUGAAAUCCUGGAGCUCAACUCCAGAACUGCCUUUGAUACUGGCGACCUUGAGUCCGGGAGAGGUGAGUGGAACUGCGAGUGUAGAGGUGAAAUUCGUAGAUAUUCGCAAGAACACCAGUGGCGAAGGCGGCUUACUGGUCCGGUUCUGACGCUGAGGCGCGAAAGCGUGGGGAGCAAACAGG
rnacentral:rRNA from 1 species